UCUAAAAAUAUAUAUAUAUACAGUGGAACCCCGGACACCCUCGGGACUUUCAUAAGUGUCCGUAUUAUCGGGGUGUCCGUAUUAAGCGGGCUUUGUUUUGUUUUACUUCACAGUUAAAAGACUUCGUCUUCUGGAAGAGGCGACUUGAAAUAAGAAGUCACGUGACUUCUUAAUUCAAGUGUAAUUUUUCAAAAAGUCAAAAUCAUAAAUUGCACGAGCCCGUAGGGCGAAUUUGAGACUCUAUUUAAAGCACACGAGCGCAAUUACGAAUCGUAUGAUCACUUAUAAAUAACACACAAAUUAGUAAAGUCAAGUUUAUGUUUGAAACACAGUAAAAUAGCGCGCUUUUUUCAAAAACUGGUGUGAUUCGUCCGUGGAAUUGGACAUUGAAUCUCAAAAUGAUCACAAUAUGUUUUUUUGUUUGUUUUAAACGCGAUACCCUGACAUAGAAUAGAAUAGCCAUAGAAUUGCUCUGUCAUAUUUUUUUGCUAAUUAACAGCUGUGUGUGUUUUUUACCCAGUUAUAUUUUUGCUUAUUUUUAUCACCCGAUGAGUGUUUCUGUCCCGUUAUAAUUUUGCCUUUUUUUACUAAUUGUUCACUCGUUAUUUCCUCCCUCUGAUUGAUGUUGUGCUAUAUUCCUCGAGGUUCACGUGGGUAAAGGUCAGUUAUUAAGAAACUCAUAAAUAAUCAUAUAGAACCAAAUUAAUUCCGGCCCGCUGUAGACUUGUAUCAACAUUGUGAAUCAAGCCCUUAAAUGAUACAAACUUUUGCAUUUUGCUUUUAUUGUUGUCAUUCUUCCGACAGGUAUUGGGAUUAGUUGAUCGAAGUGUUACCUGGAAUGCCGAGCCUACGACGCUCCCCGUGGAGAUCGAUGCUCAAAAAGAAUCGAUCUCCACAGGGGCCGGGGUAAAAAAUUCCUUUGUUAAGAGCGUGCGGCUUGUUAUGACACGAUCUUACGUUCUGUAAUCAACAUCACCCAAUCAGAAUCCGCUUUUUUGCAUACGUCAUUCACCCCUUGCUGGCUGCCUGGGAUGUCGCCGACUUGUACUGGUUCUCGUUGGAUUGUACCGGUUGCAUUUUGUUAGCGAAUCUCCGUGAUUUUAGUGAAUUUUAUCGAAUUUUAGUGUUCAAGUCAAAAUGACCUCCAAGAAAUUUGUUGUUGUGGAGUGGACGAACAACGCAGAGGAUCGUUGCGAGUUAACAGUUCUCAGGGGAAAAGUUUUGCGCCAGGGUGGUUUGGUAUCGGUGGUAUUCAUUGCAUUGCAGCAGAUAACACACCAAGACUUUACGAGGCAGAAGUGUUGCAAAACUUCGACUCACAGCGCAAGGCAAGCAGUUUGAAAACGAGCUUCUUGAGGGAGGCAACGACAGCGUUGACCGAGGUUUACAAAGAUGUUCCUGCAGAGGAUCAGCCCAGUCCAGUGUCACAACAAAAGCAGAAAAUUAAAUACCUCUCAAAGCCCCUGGAAGGGGGGAAGAGGCUCCUGUCGGACGUCUUUACCGAAGAAGAGCUCAUGCGGUGCACACUGAAGGGGAAGGGAAGGUCCAGAGGGAUGCCCUGGACCAGCAACAAGAUGCAGAUGAUUUAUGGUGCAAUGAGGGGAAAUUACGGAAUGACUGAUGAGAAAAUGCACCAGCUGAUUAGAAAUCAGCAAAAAUCCUUAAAAGACGAAACCAAAAAAGUCUUCAGUAAAGCUAAGUGAAAUGUCCAUUAAUGAUGUAAAAUGUUCGCUUUAGUAGGUUUUUUAAUCAUAGAGAUAUUUUAGCUUGCCUUGCACUUUUUGUUGUAUACCAACUUUUUGUCGAAUUUGAAUUUGUCUUUUAACGAUUUUUGCUGAUUGAAGUCACUGUUCACGUUGUAUCCGAAAAUUAUAAAGUUGAUUAUUAAAUUUUGAGAUAAUUGUAAAUUUGUUCUGUAUUCUAAAAAUAAAAUUAUUUGCUGGAAAAUAUUGCUAGCUAUUUGUAAUAAAUUACAGGAUAUCCAAAAAAGCGUAUAAUAUUCUGCAAAAUGACAAUAUGUCAAUAACAAUAACCUCAAUUUCCUUCAAUUCCGAAAAAUCUAAUAAUCUAAUUAUAUCCAAUUGGAUAUUCCAGAAUAUCGUAGAAAAUCCUUUUUAAAGUAAGUCUAUGCCUUCUAGGCCAUGACGCAUUAUUCUGAACAGUAUAGACAAUAUAAUGAUUCUAUUGUAGUCUUUAUUUAUACAUGGCAUUUCACUAUUAUGAGGAAAGAUACACAAGCAUCUUACCUAAUUUUGACAUAGAAUUAUUUCACCACACUUCCAAAUUCAAUAACAUAGUGAGUUUAUCCAUUUCAUGGAGUCACCAUAAGCACAUUGCAACUCCUGGCUUUGGUCUCUAUAUGUGGGGGUUGUUUUGCGGUUGUUCUUUAGGUUGAGUCUGCUAUCCACAAUAACAAACUAAGUGGAGGCUCGGAGGAAGGAAGAGUGACUGGAGCAAAAGGACUGAUUGACACUAGGAAAAUGGCGCGAAUUUUAAAAGCAGCCUCCAUUCACAACAAAAAAGACGGAAAAUACCGUAAUAUUACAGCAUAUCGAAGACAAAAAAUACUAUAUAUGCAACAAAAACCACAUUAAUUAUUAAAUUAGAGAUUUUUUGACUAAUAAAAAGUUGUUUUUUUUAUGCUUUAUUCGAGCUUUGAUUCCCCCCUUUGAUAACGCUACCAGCCGCCAUGUUGGAUACUGAUUAGUAUGCAAAAAGGGGGCGGAGCGAUCCCUUUUAUACCGCGCGUUCGUGUUUAAGACUCCACUGUCAGGUCAGAAUAUUAUUGAGAAUUUCAAGACUUUAUUUCGUAGUAAAGUGAACGCCUUCCAAUCUCAUAUGUUUACUGUAAAUCAUGACACACACAACGUAACGUAAACCACUAUAAUUUAUUCAUACACACAGUAAGCUUGGGUUACCUGUGAGCAGUCCGCUUUUAUGUAAACGGUAAUCGCGAUAGAUUUAUUUAUAUUGAUUUCUGCGAUCAUAUGUGUUGUAUUCUUGCUUGGUAAAUAAGGACACAUAGGCGGUGGAUCUUGGUUUAAGAAUCUUUGUUUAAACGAACAAAGGUAAACUGUAAUCUUAAAACAUCAAGUCAACGCGCGGCCAACUGUACAAACAGACCGCCCAACAUCUGAGACAAUUUUAAGUAAUGAUACAAACAGUAUGCAGCUUAAAUUGUCCUCAAGGUGUUGUUGAGGUGGGCUAGGCAGAGCUUGAUUGAAAGAUGGAGAAUCGUUAUCA